rnacentral:rRNA from 1 species
UAAGGAAUAUUGGUCAAUGGACGCAAGUCUGAACCAGCCAUGCCGCGUGCAGGAUGAAGGCCCUCGGGUUGUAAACUGCUUUUGUACGGAACGAAAAGCCUUCUUCUAAUACAGGAGGGUCAUGACGGUACCGUAAGAAUAAGCACCGGCUAACUAAGUGCCAGCAGCCGCGGUAAUACGUAGGGUGCAAGCGUUAAUCGGAAUUACUGGGCGUAAAGCGUGCGCAGGCGGUUAUGUAAGACAGAUGUGAAAUCCCCGGGCUCAACCUGGGAACUGCAUUUGUGACUGCAUAGCUAGAGUACGGUAGAGGGGGAUGGAAUUCCGCGUGUAGCAGUGAAAUGCGUAGAUAUGCGGAGGAACACCGAUGGCGAAGGCAAUCCCCUGGACCUGUACUGACGCUCAUGCACGAAAGCGUGGGGGGCAAAC